AACUGAUACUACCUGCGGGAACCUGCGGAGGGAUCAUUACAGAGUUGCAAAACUCCCUAAACCAUUGUGAACGUUACCUAAACCGUUGCUUCGGCGGGCGGCCCGGGUCCUUCCCGGCGCCCCUCGGCCCUCGCGGGCGCCCGCCGGAGGUAAACCAAACUAUUGCAUUGUAUGGCCUCUCUGAGUCUUCUGUACUGAAUAAGUCAAAACUUUCAACAACGGAUCUCUAGAUCGGAAGAG
rnacentral:misc_RNA from 1 species